UACGUAGGGGGCUAGCGUUGUCCGGAUUUAUUGGGCGUAAAGAGCGUGUAGGCGGCCAGGUAGGUCCGGUGUGAAAACUCGAGGCUUAACCUCGAGAUGUCAUCGGAAACCAUUUGGCUAGAGUCCGGAAGAGGAAAGUGGAAUUCCUGGUGUAGCGGUGAAAUGCGUAGAGAUUGGGAAGAACAUCAGUGGCGAAAGCGCUCUACUGGACCUUAUCUGACAUUGAGGGACGAAAGCUAGGGGAGCGAAUGGG
rnacentral:rRNA from 1 species